GGGGAAGUUUACUUAAAAUCUCCAGAAAUGUUAUCCAAUAUGUAAAAAAUAAAAUAAUCUUUAAAAAUUUUAAGAAAAUAAAUUAAUUUAUGGGCUUGCUAAUUAAUUACGUCACCUACUCCUCACAUUAACAUCACAAGGCCCAAUUCUUCUUCUUCUUCGUCUUAUCUAAGUCUGUUAUCAGUGAAGACCGAGCACAUUUUGUCGCCGUUAAGAGAAACCAAUGAGGAGAGUAAGAGCACCAUUAACGGGGUAUAUAAUUAGGGUCUCUUCAUCUAAUUGUCAGAAAAAAAAAUGAAAAAAAGAAAAAGAGGAAAACACGUCUCUUAUUUCAUGCCCGCAAGGGACGUCGCUUAUUGACAUGUGUCAAAACAAGAGUGGGUGGAGAGAAGAUGGUGUCGACCUUCUCGUUUUCUCUCUGUCUCGAUUCCUCUCCUCUACGAAACCUCUGUCUCUCUUGAUUCUUUUCUUCUCAUCGGUGGCUCCUCCCUUCUCCGAUCUAUCUAUCUCUGUGGCUCCUCCUUCUCCGAUCUAUCUCUCUCGGUGGCUGUCGUCGGUGAUCUAUCUCUCCUCGCCGUUCUAUCUCUCUCGAUUCCUCUCGUCGAGUAAUCGCUUUGGCCUUCUCUCCAGAAUCAUCUCGUCUGUUACCUCUCUCUCUCUUUUGGGUGAUCUAUCUCUCUGUGGCUCUCUUCGAGGGCGACGGAACCCUCUAUCUGUGGCUCUCCUAAAAUCAAAAGGUAAACGGGUUGUUUGGUUGUUUUUGCAUGUUUUAGAUUAUGAUUGUUCUUGGUCUGAUCGAAUGUUUUAUUUGUUUUGUCUGCUGAUUCUGUCUCCCUGUGGCUCUCAUUGACGGUGACGGACCAUUGUCUCGGUGUCUGUCGGGGAGUGGAAAGUGUAUUUAGAUGGAUGUAUCAAGAGAGCCGAGCAAGGGUCAUCGGACAAAGGAGUACGCAACUACACAGGUCACACGUUAUGUCUUGUACUGGGAGCAUUGACAUUGGCUUAUGUCACGGACUAAAAGACGUUGGUGUCUUGUGUGUCACGGGCUUCCAAAGACCACUUUUUUUUUUCUGUACUUGCUCACGGGCUUUGAAAGACCACUUGUAACAAACACAAAAAGCUUGUUUUAUGUCACGGACUUGUAUAUGUUGAUUUGUAGACUUGUAUGUUUCUGUCUAUAUAUAUCAUCAGUUUCUCAAUCGAGUUGUCACCACACCAAACUCACCUUCUCUCUCGACUUGUAACAAACCAAACUCACCUUCUCUUUAUCAACUUGUAAGAAUCAAAACUCAUCAUCCCUCUCGACUCGUCUUUAUAAACAACCCAUCUUCUCUCUAUUUUAAACACCAAAGUCAUCUUCUCUCUUAAAUAAACAACUCAUCUUCACUCUUUAAUCAUUAUGGCUUCUUCUUCUCAAACAAAUGUAGAUGAUACGUUUGACGAUGCAUUUGAUGAGGUCUUUGAUCAGCAGUUUGAUCAAGCCUUUGAAGAUUUGACCAUUCAAGUUGAACAAAAAGAACGGAGAAAAAGAAGAAAGAAACGAGCUUAUAUAGAAAGAAAUCGAGAAGAAGGCAAUGUACGUUUAUGGAAUGAUUAUUUCAGUGAAACUCCGACGUAUCCUGAACAUUAUUUUCGACGACGUUUUAGAAUGAACAAGAGAUUGUUCAUGCACAUUGUUCAUCGACUCUCCAACGAAGUUCACUUCUUUUCUCAAAGAAGAGAUGGUCUGGGAAGGCUUGGUCUUUCAUCACUCCAAAAGUGUACAGCAGCCAUUCGUGUCUUGGCUUAUGGUAGUGCAGCUGAUACGGUCGACGAAUACCUCCGGCUAGGUGAAACUACAACUCGGUCAUGUUUGGAGAAUUUUGUUGAAGGAAUUAUUUAUUUGUUCGGCGAUGAGUACCUAAGAAGACCAACACCAACAUAUCUUCAACGUCUACUUGAUAUUGGAGAUCAUCGUGGAUUUCCCGGGAUGAUAGGAAGCAUCGAUUGUAUG